rnacentral:rRNA from 1 species
AUGACGAACGCUGGCGGCGUGCUUAACACAUGCAAGUCGAACGGAAAGGCCCUGCUUUUGUGGGGUGCUCGAGUGGCGAACGGGUGAGUAACACGUGAGUAACCUGCCCUUGACUUUGGGAUAACUUCAGGAAACUGGGGCUAAUACCGGAUAGGAGCUCCUGCUGCAUGGUGGGGGUUGGAAAGUUUCGGCGGUUGGGGAUGGACUCGCGGCUUAUCAGCUUGUUGGUGGGGUAGUGGCUUACCAAGGCUUUGACGGGUAGCCGGCCUGAGAGGGUGACCGGCCACAUUGGGACUGAGAUACGGCCCAGACUCCUACGGGAGGCAGCAGUGGGGAAUAUUGCACAAUGGGCGGAAGCCUGAUGCAGCAACGCCGCGUGCGGGAUGACGGCCUUCGGGUUGUAAACCGCUUUCGCCUGUGACGAAGCGUGAGUGACGGUAAUGGGUAAAGAAGCACCGGCUAACUACGUGCCAGCAGCCGCGGUGAUACGUAGGGUGCGAGCGUUGUCCGGAUUUAUUGGGCGUAAAGGGCUCGUAGGUGGUUGAUCGCGUCGGAAGUGUAAUCUUGGGGCUUAACCCUGAGCGUGCUUUCGAUACGGGUUGACUUGAGGAAGGUAGGGGAGAAUGGAAUUCCUGGUGGAGCGGUGGAAUGCGCAGAUAUCAGGAGGAACACCAGUGGCGAAGGCGGUUCUCUGGGCCUUUCCUGACGCUGAGGAGCGAAAGCGUGGGGAGCGAACAGGCUUAGAUACCCUGGUAGUCCACGCUGUAAACGGUGGGUACUAGGUGUGGGGUCCAUUCCACGGGUUCCGUGCCGUAGCUAACGCUUUAAGUACCCCGCCUGGGGAGUACGGCCGCAAGGCUAAAACUCAAAGGAAUUGACGGGGCCCCGCACAAGCGGCGGAGCAUGCGGAUUAAUUCGAUGCAACGCGUAGAACCUUACCUGGGUUUGACAUGGAUCGGGAGUGCUCAGAGAUGGGUGUGCCUCUUUUGGGGUCGGUUCACAGGUGGUGCAUGGCUGUCGUCAGCUCGUGUCGUGAGAUGUUGGGUUAAGUCCCGCAACGAGCGCAACCCUUGUUCACUGUUGCCAGCACGUUAUGGUGGGGACUCAGUGGAGACCGCCGGGGUCAACUCGGAGGAAGGUGGGGAUGACGUCAAGUCAUCAUGCCCCUUAUGUCCAGGGCUUCACGCAUGCUACAAUGGCUGGUACAGAGAGUGGCGAGCCUGUGAGGGUGAGCGAAUCUCGGAAAGCCGGUCUCAGUUCGGAUUGGGGUCUGCAACUCGACCUCAUGAAGUCGGAGUCGCUAGUAAUCGCAGAUCAGCAACGCUGCGGUGAAUACGUUCCCGGGGCUUGUACACACCGCCCGUCAAGUCAUGAAAGUUGGUAACACCCGAAGCCGGUGGCCUAACCGUUGUGGGGGAGCCGUCGAAGGUGGGACUGGU